rnacentral:rRNA from 1 species
GGCUCAGAUUGAACGCUGGCGGCAGGCUUAACACAUGCAAGUCGAGCGGUAGCACAGGAGAGCUUGCUCUCUGGGUGACGAGCGGCGGACGGGUGAGUAAUGUCUGGGAAACUGCCCGAUGGAGGGGGAUAACCACUGGAAACGGUGGCUAAUACCGCAUAACGUUUACGGACCAAAGAGGGGGACCUUCGGGCCUCUUGCCAUCGGAUGUGCCCAGAUGGGAUUAGCUAGUAGGUGGGGUAACGGCUCACCUAGGCGACGAUCCCUAGCUGGUCUGAGAGGAUGACCAGCCACACUGGAACUGAGACACGGUCCAGACUCCUACGGGAGGCAGCAGUGGGGAAUAUUGCACAAUGGGCGCAAGCCUGAUGCAGCCAUGCCGCGUGUGUGAAGAAGGCCUUCGGGUUGUAAAGCACUUUCAGCGAGGAGGAAGGCCAAUAGCUU